UACGGAGGAUGCGAGCGUUAUCCGGAUUUAUUGGGUUUAAAGGGUGCGUAGGCGGAUUAAUAAGUCAGUGGUGAAAACCUGCAGCUUAACUGUGGAACUGCCAUUGAUACUGUUAGUCUUGAGUACGGUCAAGGUAGGCGGAAUGUGUAAUGUAGCGGUGAAAUGCUUAGAUAUUACACAGAACACCGAUUGCGAAGGCAGCUUACUGGGCCAUUACUGACGCUGAUGCACGAAAGCGUGGGGAGCGAACAGGAUUAGAUACCCUGGUAGUCCACGCCGUAAACGAUGAUCACUCGCUGUUGGCGAUACACAGUCAGCGGCUAAGCAAAAGCAUUAAGUGAUCCACCUGGGGAGUACGGCCGCAAGGCUGAA
rnacentral:rRNA from 1 species